GCUGAUUUCAGUUGGUGCUAGAUAGAAGUCGGCGUUCUAGCACCAUAUGAAAUCAGUUAU
rnacentral:pre_miRNA from 2 species